AAACCCUCCCUCCUUUAUUUUCGUUCUCUCUUCUUCCCCGCUCAGCAUCCAAAUUUUCCCCUUUUUCUCUCGUUUUCCCUCUUUCAUUGUUGUUUCUGGAAUUGAAGGUUCUACUAAUAAAAUUAAUAAUCGCAAAGGUACAAUAGGUGGUGGUCCUGGAUUGGCUAGGCGAACACAUGCACCUGUGGAGUCUUCACCUCCUUCCCCAGCAGUUUUGCGAGCCUCUAUGUCAUUGAGAUUGCAAUUUAUUGUGAGAUUGCUGCCAAUAAUAUGUGCAGAUGAGUAAAUAUAUGAUCUAUUUUCCCCUUGUUUCAUUUAUUCCACUUUAAAUAAACAUGAUCAGUUUCUAUCCUUACUGCUUUGUCAGACUUUUUUUUUUGUUUUCGAAUUUACUAAGCAGCUACCAGGCACCUCUUCCCCCCUUUCUACUCCAUUUCGUUUUCUUCUCCCGCGUAAAAUAUUCGCAAUUUCUUACACUCUUUCUCGUUUCUCAAAUCUCAGCUGGUGAUCAAUGAGAUCGACUCAUCCGCCGCCACUCCUCUCCAAGCCGUUAAAUUACUGGCCCAAUAUCUCUCCAACCCUCACGAUAAGGAGUCAAUAAUUGUGAGCUUGAAAGAGUUGUUGGCAGAUCCAGAAAUUGGAAACAAUGCCACAUUAAGGUUGAUUGCUGGAAUCGUUUUCAUGCAUUAAGAAGAUUAUAAUGAAGCUCUUAAACACACCAAUGCUGGUGGCACCAUGGAACUAGACAUGGCAUAUCAGUUCUGGCAACGUGUAUUUAAGGAUAAGCACCGUCUUGAACAUUUGAAACGAGUGAUGGAGUUUGAAGAAAUGGAACCUGCAACAUUAUUAAUGCCAAAGCUUGAAGAAGAAUGAUUCAGAUAUAUUCAAUUUCAUGCACCGUUUCCGGCCAUACUUUCUGCCUGCAUCUAAUGGUAGAUUCAGAUAUAUUAGAUUCAGAUAUUGCUUGCUUC